rnacentral:rRNA from 1 species
CGAACGGGGUUUAUAUAACAGAACUCUCCGGAGGGAAGAUAUAUAAACCUAGUGGCGGACGGGUGAGUAACGCGUGGGCAACCUGCCCUGUACCGGGGGACAACAGCCAGAAAUGGCUGCUAAUACCGCAUAAGCCUGCUGUGCCGCAUGGCACAGCAGGGAAAACCACGGUGGUACAGGAUGGGCCCGCGUCUGAUUAGUUAGUUGGCAGGGUAACGGCCUACCAAGACAACGAUCAGUAGCCGGCUUGAGAGAGUGGACGGCCACAUUGGGACUGAGACACGGCCCACACUCCUGCGGGAGGCAGCAGUGGGGAAUAUUGCACAAUGGGGGGAACCCUGAUGCAGCAAUGCCGCGUGGGUGAAGAAGCACUCCGGUGCGUAAAGCCCUGUCAGCAGGGAAGAAAAUGACAGUACCUGGACAAGAAGCCCCGGCUAACUACGUGCCAGCAGCCGCGGUAAUACGUAGGGGGCAAGCGUUAUCCGGAUUUACUGGGUGUAAAGGGAGCGCAGGCGGCGUGGCAAGUCAGAUGUGAAAACCCGGGGCCCAACCCCGGGAGUGCAUUUGAAACUGCCAUGCUGGAGUGCCGGAGAGGUAAGCGGAAUUCCUAGUGUAGCGGUGAAAUGCGUAGAUAUUAGGAGGAACACCAGUGGCGGAGGCGGCUUACUGGACGGUAACUGACGCUGAGGCUCGAAAGCGUGGGGA